UUUGUACCAAACUGCUAAUUACCGAGUGAUGUUUGCUAUAUUAUUUAAUAGAAUACCCUUAAAAUCCAGUUAGACUUUUUGCGAAUGGUGGAAGUGGUAGCACUUCUUGUCAAGUUGACCGUUACUGUUCUUUGCUCAACAUGGUAAAAUUGCGUUGUAUAAUUUGCUCCAUCCUCGUUCUGGUUUUUGCCGAGGGUCUGCUUGCCAUAUACAACGGAAGCAAUGCCUACGACCAUGAUAACCCGUUCCAGGCGGCAAUUCUAUUCAGUAACGUCACGAUAAAGAAACUUGUGUGGAAAAAGUACAUUUGCACCGGAUACGUAAUAUCCAGUCGCUGGAUUGUCACAGCUGCUCAUUGCUGUGCAAGAUGCAGCCAACUUCAGGACUGCAGCGUUCUUUUGGGAACGAGUGACCUGUCAGCCCAUUUCUCCAGACACGCGAAGCAUAUGAAGUUUCAACGGGCUGAACAGCAUCCUGCUUAUCAAUCCGGAAACACGACCUAUGACAUUUGCCUCCUACAAACGCGAAAGGUGAUUAAAUUUAACAACGAUGUGGCGCCCAUUUGCUUCGCAAAUCCUGGGCUUCAAAUAAAAAACGGAACGAAUUGUACAAUGGCUGGAUGGGGCUCCAUAAUAUGCCACAGAGAUUUCCCGUUCGAAAACGAAUAUCCGGAAGAAGAAAAGCCACUUGUGCGGCCUCCCAAUUCCACUAGGGAAGCAUUUCUUUUUUACAUAAAGGCACCUGUAUACAGAUUACAGACUUUAUCGGAUGUACAAAAGGAAAGUUCAGAAUAUUGCACAAGCCGUGCACUUGAUCCAGGCGUAGCGUGCGCCAGGAGUCUACCUAAUGAGGGUCCAUACACUGGUGACAGUGGUGGACCUCUUAAAUGCACAGCGUCGGACGAAUACGAAUAUGCUUUUGCCACGUUCAAGCGCAACGUGUGCAUGGUGGAAAAUUACCCCGCUGAGUACACUGAUAAUCAGCUACCGGACAUCUUCGAGUGGGUACAAACGAUGGUCGGCGAGCACGAGCUAAAUAGGAUCUGCAGAAAUGCAACGGAAGACUUUCCUGUUGCCGAGUUUUUAUCAGAGGAAGAUGAGUCAAUACGCUCAGUAACUGUUAGCGCAGACGUGGACAAAAACGUAUGAAUUCAGUGGUAUCAGAAAAUUCCCUGGGAAAUGCGCAAUGCAUGGUACCUGGAACGGAAAUGGAGGUGGUUCGUUAGCAGUGCUGGCCAAGCGACGCGGUAUAAGAAGUGUGUAGCCGCUCACGAUAGUUGCCUGCUACAACACAACGUUCCUAAGAGGGCCUACGAUAGCUGUCUGCUGUGAACAGCUGCUUGAUUCUUCUCAAAGAUGUUUGAUAUUCGGCUGCUGCGCAUAACCGGCCUGGCAUUGUCUUUGACCCUCCACGGCGACGACACCGAGUACACCAUCCCGCCAGGACAACCGGGUGGCUUCACACCAUAUGUUCUCAUCCAGAAACCCUGGCCGGAUGGCCAAAGCAACCACGGACGCAUGGUCGACGCUGCAAGGGCUUUAGCUAAAAUCAUAGAAGAAUAUUUUGAUGACUAUCUCUACGCGGGGAUGAACAAGUGCGCCGUGGACAGAUAUCUCCACUGACGUGAAUGCGUGGCGGGAUACAGGAACAGUGAUUUUGUGCAGAGCCUGGCAGCAUAAACGCAGCUUCCGCGAUGUUCUUCCAUACCGCUUCCAUUUGUCCCCAGCGAACCAGACUGAACCCCUUAAGUAUCGCGAUCUGUACGCGACGGCUGGCGACAUAUUUCAAUCCGAUGUUAGCACGAUGGAGCAAGUUGCGACCAUUCCUGAGGGAGCCUACAUCCCGUGCCGCCUCCGCAAUGCUUGUCCGCAAGUUAGGAACGAAACAGGGACCAUCUGGUGACGUCUGGACCUUGGCGGCCAACCCCCCAGUUACUGUGCUUUAGGCAGUCUUGGAAUGAUGCCUUUAUAACUUUUGCUCGCUAUAAUCAUUUUAAUGUGAGCUUCGUCAAUCAUUUUUUCUUUUGU